CCUACGGGUGGCAGCAGUGGGGGAUAUUGCACAAUGGGGGAAACCCUGAUGCAGCGACGCCGCGUGUAGGAAGACGGUCCUCUGGAUUGUAAACUACUGUCCCCAGGGACGAAGAUGACGGUACCUGGGGUGGAAGCUCCGGCUAACUACGUGCCAGCAGCCGCGGUAAUACGUAGGGAGCGAGGGUUGUCCGGAAUUACUGGGGGUAAGGGGAGCGUAGGCGGGGAUGCAAGUUGGGUGUUAAAUCUACCGGCUCAACUGGUAGUCGCACUCAAAACUGCAGCCUUUGAGUGAAGUAGAGGCAGGCGGAAUUCCUAGUGUAGCGGUGAAAUGCGUAGAUAUUAGGAGGAACACCAGUGGCGAAGGCGGCCUGCUGGGCUUUUACUGACGCUGAGGCUCGAAAGUGUGGGGAGCAAACAGGAUUAGAUACCCCUGUAGUC
rnacentral:rRNA from 1 species